UACGAAGGGGGCUAGCGUUGUUCGGAUUUACUGGGCGUAAAGCGCACGUAGGCGGGUUGUUAAGUCAGGGGUGAAAUCCUGGAGCUCAACUCCAGAAACUGCCUUUGAUACUGGCAACCUAGAGGCUGGAAGAGGUUAGUGGAAUUCCCAGUGUAGAGGUGAAACUUCGUAGAUAUUGGGAAGAACACCAGUGGCGAAGGCGGAACUGUCCAGAUCUGACGCUGAGGUGC
rnacentral:rRNA from 1 species